UUGGGGUGAUUACCAGGGUGAACAGCAGCAGCAGCAGCUGUGAUUACAGUAACUGCGCACACCGGCAUCCUUUUGGGGCCUCAUUGUCCAUGUUCUCACAAGAUUCCAGGUUCUCGGGACAACCGAGCUGUAGCCCUUGGAACCCUGGACAUCCAGGAGAUCCGAAGGCACAGACGAGGCGUUCUGCUAGGCCAGCACCUAAGGGGGUCUCAAACACCUGGCAAGAGGACUUGGUGGUGCCCCAAGGAGAGCAUUUCAUUUUGGCUCCUGGAAAUCAUGGUGGCAGCAGCUGGACCUUUCCAACACCAUUUUGCUACUCUCAGUACCUCUAGACAGGAAGGAAAAGCCAGUAUAGGCUGCCUGAAAAUCAAAUUUAUCUAGCAACCCCAGGUGGGCACAGCCUGUGCAGGAAGAAGCCUCCAGCAAACCCAGACAAGACAAACCUUUUGGCACCCAACCGGGGACAGAGCCAGUAAUGGACAGAGGGAUGCAUCCAUCCGAGGUCA